GGGGGUCACCUGCCCUGGCAAUGGCAAGGGUUGCACCAACCCUGCCCUACCUUGCACCAUUUGGACAUGAGGAGUUCACUGAUCCAAGGAGGCCAUUGCUCCAGCUGCUCUUUUCUUCCCCAGGAAGGAAAACCCCAUCCCGGGCUUUGCAGAAAGCAGCUUGAGCAGACGGCACUGAGGGUCCAGCUGGCACAACAGGAGCAGGAUGUGGCAGUCCUCCUCUCCCGUGCAUGGAUAAAGGAGGAGCAGCUCCUGUAAGACAGGAAUUGGAAAUGUGCUGAGUUUUGCCCUUGAGGAGAAGGGCCAUCACAGCAUGUGGAACUGCAACGGUUAAAGAGUGUCUCAAAACUAGAGAAUUUGCCUUUUCAACCAACAAGGCAGCAGCUGCAAGUGAAUGGAGGCAAGGAGGAAGUCCCACAGCCACGGGAUCAAGGGCAGAGCUGUAAUACACAAUUGGGCAAUGCUUUUCACCAUGCAGCUGAGUUCAAGAGCGGUUUGUGGCUCAUGGAAAUGACAGACUCAAGCUGAUUGUAUUACUGUGUAGUGAGGAUGAUGAGACGGUCCAGAAAGCAGCUGCGGGAGCUUUGGCCAUGCUGACAGCAGCACAGAAGAAACUCUGCUAUAAAAUGACUCAAGUGACAAUUCAGUGGCUGGAAAUCCUGCAGAGGCUCUGCUUGCAGGACAGUGUGGAUGUUCAGCACCGUGGGCUGGUUGUUGCUUACAACCUAAUCAGCGCUGACAAAGAACUCGCCAAAAAGUUGGUAGAGAGUGAGCUCCUGGAGAUCCUGACAGUCGUUGGCAAACAAAAAGAUGACCCCAAAAUAUAGCAUGCUCUUGACGCAGCUCGUGAGUGCCUUGUGAAGUGCAUGGACUAUGGGCUGAUCAAACCGCUGUCACGGGCAUGAGGACAUCAUUGUCUAUUGAGAAACGGCAAGGAAAGGGAGGCCACCAGGAGGUCUGGAAGUCUUCCAGAUCUGCAUAAGGACACUCAGUCCCAUGGCCAAGGCUUUACUGAGCACUGGCUUUGUGUGUUUUGUCCUGAAAGAAGGUAAAACUUAAUGAUAUCUAGGUACUGCAAAUACCUUCAGUGCCAGGAUGCAGCAAAUUUCCACUGAAAGAAGCAAUAUGGGAAGCACAUUGAACAGCUGCUGCUUCAGGAAGUCUCAAAAAGGAUAAAGAGAAUGAGUGGACUGUUUUCACAAAUGAAAAUUCUUUAUUUCAGCAAUUCCUAGCAGUGGAAGAACAAGCACAAGGUUUUAUUUCCUCACAUCAGAUGUUCAGAAACUAGUUCAGAUUUGUUAUUUAAAAAUGAUUGUUUCUUCUUUUGAAUUGGAAUGCAGGCAUUUAGCGUGCGAGAGCACUGGGUGGAUUCAUAAUAAACAGCAUCUUUGCUCUGUG